GGGCAGAUGUAAGAAUGAAAGAUCCAGGACAGCAAAUGUAGGCAAGUCCUCUGUGUGGGUGAGGAGAGCCGAGAAGCAGAUGGGAACCCGGGAGUAUAUUCAUCUAAAGCAGUUAUUUCCUGGCAUCAUCACCACAAGCUCAGCUCAUCCUCCCCAAAGCUCACAAAGGCCCAUCCAACCAUUGUUAAGAGCUAGACACUCCUAUGGAUUUGAGAGAAGGAGAAAGCUUGUCCGUGAGCUGCAAUUCCCGCCUCUCCUGUGGAUUUCCAGCAACCAAUAUGGAGGCCCAUUUACAAUCAAAAGAAAGAAGACAAACAGCAACAGACAACCAAAAUGGCUGAGGUAUGUUUCCUUUUCUUAAACAUCAGCCUUUUAAAAUAAAUAAAUGAAGAUUCACUCUUUUUUAUUUAACCCCUCUCCCAAUGGAUGUUAAUCUCUCCCUCUUACUCUGAACCAAAAUUUUGCCUAUCCAGAAUUUUUUCCCCCCAGGGGCACAUCCCCACAUUCCAAAGAGUCCAUACAACACUUUCUCAAUAAAAGCAUUAUAUGUGAUAAAGUCACAGGAGUCUGAGCAAUCAAAGCUUGUAAAGAUGUGCUGACCUUGAUGUUGCCAUGGAUCUUUGUUCCCUUCCCAGAGGGACUUCAGGGCUUUUUAAAGCUAUUCCCGGGGAAGGUAGUGGUUGGGGACAGAUUUCCUACCCACAUAGUUGGGAGGCAUAGGGAAAUCCUACUGAGAGCUACCUGAA